ACAAACCCAAUUUGUAAGUCGCUCUGGAUAAGAGCGUCUGCUAAAUUAAGUAAA
rfam:Salmo salar isolate Sally breed double haploid chromosome ssa02, whole genome shotgun sequence.